rnacentral:lncRNA from 1 species
AUCACCUUCCUCAUCUUCGGCCUCAUACACUGGGAAUUCAAAAUUCGGAGGGAAUGCAGGGUUACUGUGCCCAACGGGUUUAUUAUAGUUCAAUCUGCGUAAAAUGGUUGGAUGAUUUUAGAAAGAGGGUUUUUUAUGCAGAUUUUUGAAAUUAAUAAGAAAAUACAGAUGUUUUGGUUUUUUCUGGCAUUACCAUUAUUUCCAAGAAAAAAA